UAGGGAAUAUUGCACAAUGGGCGCAAGCCUGAUGCAGCAACGCCGCGUGCGCGAAGAAGGCCUUCGGGUUGUAAAGCGCUUUUCGGGGAGAAGAGGAAGGACGGUAUCCCCGGAAUAAGGCUCGGCUAACUACGUGCCAGCAGCCGCGGUAAAACGUAGGAGCCAAGCGUUAUCCGAAUUCACUGGGCGUAAAGCGCGUGCAGGCGGUCUGGUAAGUUGGCUGUGAAAUCUCCUGGCUCAACUGGGAGAGGCCGGUCGUUACUGUCAGGCUAGAGGGCGAUAGAGGGAGGUGGAAUUCCGGGUGUAGUGGUGAAAUGCGUAGAUAUCCGGAGGAACACCAGAGGCGAAGGCGACCUCCUGGAUCGCACCUGACGCUCAGACGCGAAAGCUAGGGGAGCGAACGGGAUUAGAAACCCCGGUAGUCCUAGCCGUAAACGAUGUAGACUGGGUUUGGCGGGGUAAAAGCGUCAGGGCCGAAGCCAACGCGAUAAGUCUACCGCCUGGGGACUACGGCCGACG
rnacentral:rRNA from 1 species